rnacentral:rRNA from 1 species
UACGUAGGGUGCGAGCGUUAAUCGGAAUUACUGGGCGUAAAGCGUGCGCAGGUGGGUUUGCAAGUUCGAUGUGAAAGCCCCGGGCUUAACCCGGGAAUGGCAUUGGAUACUGCAGAUCUGGAGGAUCGGAGGGGGGACUGGAAUUCUUGGUGUAGCAGUGAAAUGCGUAGAUAUCAAGAGGAACACCAGUGGCGAAGGCGAGUCCCUGGACGAUACCUGACGCUGAGGAGCGAAAGUGUGGGGAGCGAACAGG